CACUGUGGCCACACCGCCUUUGCUCUGCCCGAUCCCAUCAGAUCUCGGAAGCUAAGCAAGGACGGGCCUGGUUGGUACUUGGAUGGGAGACCGUUUGGGAACACCAGGAAGCCUGGGUGA
ensembl:rRNA 5S_rRNA 5S ribosomal RNA